rnacentral:lncRNA from 1 species
AAAAAACAAAUGAAAUUGGAAAAGCCGAAAAUAGUGUGUAUUUUAGUAAAAGGAGGCGUUUGGGACGAGGACGAGGAGAGGAGUAGGAGGAGGAAUCCUUGACCGAAGGGAGGGAAAGAAUCUGCCAUGAAAUCCGUGGAGGGUUUGUGCAAUAAUUAAGAAAAAUCUGAAAAUAGUUUAAUAGAAAGAGUGGGAGAAAAAGACAGAGAGCCAUCAGAUAUUUAAGGAAAGUGAUGACUGAUGAUAAGGUGCUUUUGUAAUAACAACAAAAUUUUAAAAAAUUUCCAUAUCUAGGACUCCCACUUCCUCUUUUUCCAACCAUAACCCACCUGGUAUUGUUUAUCCCUUCUAAUCUCCCUUUUUUAAUCUAACUAUAAUCUAAUAACUAAUUUACUACUAAUUAUUAAUUUAGGCUUGAUGACCGCUG